AAAACAAAACAGAAAUAGAAAUGUAAUAUACGAUAAGAAAAUGAUAUAUAU
rnacentral:guide_RNA from 1 species